AUCUUAUUUCCAGUUAUUUACGGCAAGUUACGAGCAAGGAAAUUGCAUCAAAAAAACGACACCACAUCGAGAAAAACCACCAUAGACAAGAUACUAUCAUCAUCAAUUCCUACACAAGAUACCAUUCAACAAAACCAAACAAUGGAACGUUUCAUACUACCAAAAUUUAAAGAGCAAGGCAUUAUUGCUUCAACAUCCUAUAGAGAGAAAGCUAGAAAGAGACAGGCACUUUGUCGUAGCAAGAAAAGCAAGAGCAAAGUCUUAUUCCUUCAACAUCCAACCAUCUUGAAGAUACUGGAAAUAAACAAUCAAAUUGUAUUAUUGCUUCAACAUCCAAUCAUCUUGAAGAUACUAAAAAUCUAGAACAAGGCGAACAUUACUGUGGGCCAUUAA